UACGUAGGGGGCAAGCGUUAUCCGGAAUUAUUGGGCGUAAAGAGUUCGUAGGUGGAUUUACAAGCCUUGGGUGAAAGGCUACGGCUUAACCGUAGUAAGCCUAAGGAACUGUAAAUCUUGAGUGCAGGAGAGGAAAGCGGAAUUCCUAGUGUAGCGGUGAAAUGCGUAGAUAUUAGGAGGAACACCAGUGGCGAAGGCGG
rnacentral:rRNA from 1 species